CUACGGGGGCUGCAGUGGGGAAUAUUGGACAAUGGGCGAAAGCCUGAUCCAGCCAUGCCGCGUGUGUGAAGAAGGCCUUCGGGUUGUAAAGCACUUUCAGUGGGGAAGAAAGCCUUGGGGCUAAUACCCUCGAGGAAGGACAUCACCCACAGAAGAAGCACCGGCUAACUCCGUGCCAGCAGCCGCGGUAGUACGGAGGGUGCGAGCGUUAAUCGGAAUUACUGGGCGUAAAGCGCGCGUAGGCGGUCUGAUAAGCCGGUUGUGAAAGCCCCGGGCUCAACCUGGGAACGGCAUCCGGAACUGUCAGGCUAGAGUGCAGGAGAGGAAGGUAGAAUUCCCGGUGUAGCGGUGAAAUGCGUAGAGAUCGGGAGGAAUACCAGUGGCGAAGGCGGCCUUCUGGACUGACACUGACGCUGAGGUGCGAAAGCGUGGGUAGCAAACAGGAUUAGAUACCCGAGUAGUC
rnacentral:rRNA from 1 species